rnacentral:rRNA from 1 species
UGCCCCAUAGUCUAGGAUACCACUUGGAAACAGGUGCUAAUACCGGAUAAGAAAGCGGAUCGCAUGAUCAGCUUUUAAAAGGCGGCGUAAGCUGUCGCUAUGGGAUGGCCCCGCGGUGCAUUAGCUAGUUGGUAAGGUAAAGGCUUACCAAGGCGAUGAUGCAUAGCCGAGUUGAGAGACUGAUCGGCCACAUUGGGACUGAGACACGGCCCAAACUCCUACGGGAGGCAGCAGAA